AAUGGUGAGCGCAAGGUACACUGGAUUGCUUGGAAUAAGAUGUGUGCAGCAAAGCGUGCGGGUGGCAUGGGGUUCAGAGAUCCGGAAGCGUUCAACCAGGCCCUUCUGGCAAAACAAGCCUGGAGGGUGUUACAGGUGCCUUCUUCACUUUGUGCAAGGGUUUUGAAGGCUCGUUACUUUAGCGAUGGGGGAAUUCUCAAUGCUUCCUGUCCGGCGGGAGGAUCGUACAAGUUCAGAAGCAUUAUCCAUGGGCAUGACCUGCUGCGAGCCGGGCUGGUGUGGAGGAUAGGGGAUGGCAUGAAGGUCAACAUACACCAUGAUUAG
rnacentral:rRNA from 1 species